rnacentral:rRNA from 1 species
GACGAACGCUGGCGGCGUGCUUAACACGUGCAAGUCGAACGGAAAGGCCCUGCUUUUGUGGGGUGCUCGAGUGGCGAACGGGUGAGUAACACGUGAGUAACCUGCCCUUGACUUUGGGAUAACUUCAGGAAACUGGGGCUAAUACCGGAUAGGAGCUCCUGCUGCAUGGUGGGGGUUGGAAAGUUUCGGCGGUUGGGGAUGGACUCGCGGCUUAUCAGCUUGUUGGUGGGGUAGUGGCUUACCAAGGCUUUGACGGGUAGCCGGCCUGAGAGGGUGACCGGCCACAUUGGGACUGAGAUACGGCCCAGACUCCUACGGGAGGCAGCAGUGGGGAAUAUUGCACAAUGGGCGGAAGCCUGAUGCAGCAACGCCGCGUGCGGGAUGACGGCCUUCGGGUUGUAAACCGCUUUCGCCUGUGACGAAGCGUGAGUGACGGUAAUGGGUAAAGAAGCACCGGCUAACUACGUGCCAGCAGCCGCGGUGAUACGUANGGUGCGAGCGUUGUCCGGAUUUAUGAGGCGUAAGGGCUCGUAGGUGGUUGAUCGCGUCGGAAGUGUAAUCUUGGGGCUUAUUCCUGAGCGUGCUUUCGAUACGGGUUGACUUGAGGAAGGUAGGGGAGAAUGGAAUUCCUGGUGGAGCGGUGGAAUGCGCAUAUAUCAAGAGGAACACCAGUGGCGAAGGCGGUUCUCUGGGCCUUUCCUGACUCUGAGGAGCGAAAGCGUGGGGAGCGAACAGGCUUAGAUACCCUGGUAGUCCACGCUGUAAACGGAGGGUACUAGGUGUGGGGUCCAUUCCACGGGUUCCGCGCCGUAGCUAACGCUUUAAGUACCCCGCCUGGGGAGUACGGCCGCAAGGCUAAAACUCAAAGGAAUUGACGGGGCCCCGCACAAGCGGCGGAGCAUGCGGAUUAAUUCGAUGCAACGCGUAGAACCUUACCUGGGUUUGACAUGGAUCGGGAGUGCUCAGAGAUGGGUGUGCCUCUUUUGGGGUCGGUUCACAGGUGGUGCAUGGCUGUCGUCAGCUCGUGUCGUGAGAUGUUGGGUUAAGUCCCGCAACGAGCGCAACCCUUGUUCACUGUUGCCAGCACGUUAUGGUGGGGACUCAGUGGAGACCGCCGGGGUCAACUCGGAGGAAGGUGGGGAUGACGUCAAGUCAUCAUGCCCCUUAUGUCCAGGGCUUCACGCAUGCUACAAUGGCUGGUACAGAGAGUGGCGAGCCUGUGAGGGUGAGCGAAUCUCGGAAAGCCGGUCUCAGUUCGGAUUGGGGUCUGCAACUCGACCUCAUGAAGUUGGAGUCGCUAGUAAUCGCAGAUCAGCAACGCUGCGGUGAAUACGUUCCCGGG